rnacentral:rRNA from 1 species
AGACGUCUACAUUAGAUACCCCUGUAGUCCCAGCCGUAAACUAUGCGCGUUAGGUGUAUCGGUGACCACGAGUUACCGAGGUGCCGAAGGGAAACCGUGAAACGUGCCGCCUGGGAAGUACGGUCGCAAGGCUGAAACUUAAAGGAAUUGGCGGGGAGCACCACAACGGGUGGAGCCUGCGGUUUAAUUGGACUCAACGCCGGGAAGCUCACCGGAUAGGACAGCAGAAUGAUUGCCGGGCUGAAGACCCUGCAUGACUAGCUG